GCUGGAUCCACAGAAAAGGAUUCUACUUCCACAAGGAUGGCACACCGAGGGGACUCCCAGUUCCCCAAUCCUAACCUAGCCGCCAUGCUUACUCCUACCGCAGACGACGGCAGCCUGGCCACCUCGCAGGCAGCGUGACUGUGCGGGGCGGCUUAUUUCUUCCCUCCACUCCCCUGCAUCAAACAUAUUCGGUUUUCGCCACGGGGCACCCAUCACCGAACCAAACUUUCGGGGCACCCAACUGUCGGUCGGUUGAUUUUCUAUUACCCGAGCGGUUAGCGUUUUCUAAGAGCCCAACCUGUAAAAGGACCGAAGCACUGAUCCGAUCGGUUCGGGGGAACCGAAUGCACAGCCUGUGCCACUGUUCCGGUUGCUAUUCGAAGCUUUGAUCACGUAUUCUCCAACCACGUAUGCUCCAACCAUGCUGCAAAGAUCAGCUUCUCGCACGGCAAAGAAGAGCGGGAUCUUUUGAACCUGUUAUGUAUAGUGAUGAGAUUGUUUUUCGUAUGAACUUGAUGAUGGUGAAAGUGUACUUUACUUACUGAAAGAUGUAGUGUGGUUGCAACAAUGAGUUUGAAAUAAGAGGCGGAAACUUGCAACCGUGUA